AGAGCGAACGCUGGCGGCAGGCUUAACACAUGCAAGUCGAGCGGGCGUAGCAAUACGUCAGCGGCAGACGGGUGAGUAACGCGUGGGAACGUACCUUUUGGUUCGGAACAACACAGGGAAACUUGUGCUAAUACCGGAUAAGCCCUUACGGGGAAAGAUUUAUCGCCAAAAGAUCGGCCCGCGUCUGAUUAGCUAGUUGGUGAGGUAACGGCUCACCAAGGCGACGAUCAGUAGCUGGUCUGAGAGGAUGAUCAGCCACAUUGGGACUGAGACACGGCCCAAACUCCUACGGGAGGCAGCAGUGGGGAAUAUUGGACAAUGGGCGCAAGCCUGAUCCAGCCAUGCCGCGUGAGUGAUGAAGGCCCUAGGGUUGUAAAGCUCUUUUGUGCGGGAAGAUAAUGACGGUACCGCAAGAAUAAGCCCCGGCUAACUUCGUCGCCAGCAGCCGC
rnacentral:rRNA from 1 species